UUCCCCCAACAAUUUCUUUGUCCUCAACGCUCCAUAUUUCCAGGAAUUAGACACUUCAACGAUCUUUGAUGGUUAUACGAGUAUCCAAAGUACGAACGAGAUGGAUGUUUGUUGUCCCAACCAAUCUUGUUAGUCCCAAUCCCAAUAGAGCAAAUCAAAGAAAGGGAUAAUUUAUAACAAAGUUUUUAUGUUGUUCAUUUCUAGGUGUAGUGCUUCUUCCCCUAUGUCACCUAUUGGUACUAGUACAGUAGGAUUGACCUGCAAUAGAGAACCUAUAGGUGUAACCUUUCGCUCAAUACUAGAAUCAACAAUUGAAGCAUCUGAGGCUGCAUCAAUCGUGG
rnacentral:lncRNA from 1 species